AUUGAACGCUGGCGGCAGGCCUAACACAUGCAAGUCGAACGAGUGGCGGACGGGUGAGUAAUGUCUGGGAAACUGCCUGAUGGAGGGGGAUAACUACUGGAAACGGUAGCUAAUACCGCAUACCAUCGGAUGUGCCCAGAUGGGAGUAGCUUGUAGGUGAGGUAACGGCUCACCUAGGCGACGAUCCCUAGCUGGUCUGAGAGGAUGACCCGCCACAUUGGAACUGAGACACGGUCCAGACGCCUACGGGAGGCAGCAGUGGGGAAUAUUGCACAAUGGGCGCAAGCCUGAUGCAGCCAUGCCGCGUGUAUGAAGAAGGCCUUCGGGUUGUAAAGUACUUUCAGCGGGGAGGCGUUACCCGCAGAAGAAGCACCGGCUAACUCCGUGCCAGCAGCCGCGGUAAUUC
rnacentral:rRNA from 1 species